UCGUCUUCCACCGCAACUUCUGACCUAUCUCCCCGACUUCUCAAGGACUAACAAGUAAAAACACUGGCACUACGCGCACCAGUGCACUAUACUAAGCACGAGCCAAAGUCUUUGGGCGAGACAUCCACCUCCCCGCGUAGAGGGAAGUGACACUCGAAUCAUUAUCCCUUAAACAAGAGUCCAACAACAUCACAUUCUUAACGUAGCACAGUAUGAAAAGUUCAC
rnacentral:lncRNA from 1 species